rnacentral:rRNA from 1 species
AACGUAGGAGGCAAGCGUUGUCCGGAUUUACUGGGCGUAAAGCGCGCGCAGGCGGUCGUUCAAGUCGAGUGUGAAAGCCCCCGGCUCAACUGGGGAGGGUCACUCGAUACUGAUCGACUUGAAGGCAGAAGAGGGAAGCGGAAUUCCCGGUGUAGUGGUGAAAUGCGUAGAUAUCGGGAGGAACACCAGUGGCGAAGGCGGCUUUCUGGUCUGUUCUUGACGCUGAGGCGCGAAAGCUAGGGUAGCAAACGGG